rnacentral:sRNA from 1 species
UCAUCUUAGGCCUUACAGCCCAGGGUGGGCC